UCCAGAGGUUUCAAGCGUUGUUCGGAUUCAUUGGGCGUAAAGGGUGCGUAGGUGGCGCUGUAAGUCGGGUGUGAAAUUUCGGAGCUUAACUCCGAAACUGCAUUCGAUACUGCGGUGCUUGAGGACUGGAGAGGAGACUGGAAUUCAUGGUGUAGCAGUGAAAUGCGUAGAGAUCAUGAGGAAGACCAGUGGCGAAGGCGGGUCUCUGGACAGUUCCUGACACUGAGGCACGAAGGCCAGGGGAGCAAACGGG
rnacentral:rRNA from 1 species